UCUGAUGUUUCAGUUCCUAUAGGGACUCCCACUUCUUGUUCUUCUAUAGGACUUAUCUCCAUCAAUGCUGCCACGUUGAUCCCCUUUAAGUUAUCAAAGGGUGGCAACUAUGCGUCCUGGCGAGCUCAAUUUUCUAAUCUUUUAUUUGGAUACGACUUGUUAGGUUACAUUGAUGGCUCUUUCAGUUGUCCUCCGGCCAUGCUCAACAUCCCCGGCGAUCCCAGUCCAGUACCCAAUCC
rnacentral:lncRNA from 1 species